rnacentral:rRNA from 1 species
AGAGUUUGAUCCUGGCUCAGAACGAACGCUAGCGGCGUGGAUAAGACAUGCAAGUCGGACGAGAAACUUUUGGAGCUUGCUUUGGAAGUUUCUAGUGGCGGACGGGUGAGUAACACGUGAGCAACCUGCCCUAAAGUGGGGGAUAGCCCGAGGAAACUCGGAUUAAUACCGCAUGUGAUGGUAACAUUAAAGGCGGCUACUUCGGUAGCUGUCGCUUUAGGAUGGGCUCGCGGCCUAUCAGCUAGUUGGUGAGGUAAUGGCUCACCAAGGCGAUGACGGGUAGCUGGUCUGAGAGGACGACCAGCCACACUGGAACUGAGACACGGUCCAGACACCUACGGGUGGCAGCAGUCGAGAAUCAUUCGCAAUGGGGGAAACCCUGACGGUGUGACGCCGCGUGGAGGAUGAAGGCCCUAGGGUCGUAAACUCCUGUCAUCAGGGAGUAAAAACUUAUGUAGUAACUGACAUGGGUCUUGAUAGUACCUGAAGAGGAAGGGACGGCUAACUUCGUGCCAGCAGCCGCGGUAAUACGAAGGUCCCAAGCGUUGUUCGGAUUUACUGGGCGUAAAGCGUCUGUAGGCGGCGUGGUAAGUCAGAUGUGAAAUCCCGGGGCUCAACCCCGGAACUGCAUCCGAUACUGCCAUGCUAGAGUAUUGGAGGGGAGUCUGGAAUUCUCGGUGUAGCAGUGAAAUGCGUAGAUAUCGAGAGGAACACU